rnacentral:rRNA from 1 species
UACGGAGGGGGCAAGCGUUGUUCGGAUUUACUGGGCGUAAAGCGCACGUAGGCGGAUUUUUAAGUCAGUGGUGAAAUCCUGGAGCUCAACUCCAGAACUGCCUUUGAUACUGGCAAUCUAGAGUCCGGAAGAGGUAAGUGGAACUCCUAGUGUAGAGGUGGAAUUCGUAGAUAUUAGGAAGAACACCAGUGGCGAAGGCGGCUUACUGGUCCGGUACUGACGCUGAGGUGCGAAAGCGUGGGGAGCAAACAGG